rnacentral:tRNA from 1 species
GGGCGCGUAGCUCAGCGGGAGAGCACUCCCUUCACACGGGAGGGGUCACAGGUUCAAUCCCCUGUCGCGCCCA